UUCAGGUGAAUUUUGAACUCUAUAAUGAUUCUACGGCGACGUUGUUACUGUCAAAGAAGGUUCAGGAUUAUUCAGACAAUUCAAUCUACGAGAUCAGUUUUUGACUCGACAAAAUCCGAAGCAGUCCUAUCUCAGUUGAAGUUUCAGCCAAAUAGUUUCGAUUUUCCCUUGAGAAAUGCCGAUAAUAUUCCAGUCAAAGUGCCAGCUGUACACAAAACAGUUGGCUUCGAACUUCCGGCUUUUUUGGACAAUUUGAGCCGAUCAAUUACGAACUGGAAAAUAUCAGACCCAGUUUCUAAUAAACAAAUAGGUCAAGCUGUAAACGAGCCCUCGGAGCUAGAUAGACGGGUGGAUCUACCGCCUUCUGCGAGAACUGUUGUGCCGAUGUAUGCUAGAAUAGGCGGGAAGUACAAGCGACCUGCGUUCAAAAGACUGAGAAUUAAAAGAAGGCAUUUCAAAAAGGCUCGAAGGAAAAAUCGACACAAGCUGAAACAGCGUGAAAUUUUGAAGCGACAAGAAAAUCUGAAGAAGUGGAAUGAACAAUUGGAGGUUGUUCGGGUUCAAGAGAUUCAAACGAGGUCACGCAUUGAAGAAAUGAAGGACACUCAGCGGGAGUUGGUGAACAGAAUCCAAGAGAUGAUUGAUCAAAACCCUGAGCUGUUGAACAAAAUAGAAGAAAGCGUAGAUCCCGAUAUAAAAGAGAAACUGAGAAUUAUGAACUCGGUGGAAAAAGUUGUGACUAAAGAGGAAAAACUUAUCCAAAAAAUUUAUAAGAAAAGAUAAUUUGAAUAUUGGUCUUUGAAUAAAUUGUUAUAAUGGA